UUGAGGAGGCGGUGACCAUGGCGGUGGAGGAGGAGGAUGAAGUAGCCAACACUAUUUAUAUAUAUAUAUAUGUAUAUAUAUAUAUACACAAGAUAUAUAUAUUUUAAUUGGGGUAGCCCCCAAAAUAUUGGGACAUAUAAAAAAAGACAACUCUAUUCUGAAGAGUAGCUGUUGACCUUAUAGUUGCGCAGGAACUUUGUUGACUCUAGAGAACCUCGGGCAAAUCGCACAUCCCCGUGGCGGCGACUUUGCAUGCGGAUGUCAUCCAUAUCAACUUUCGAUGCUAGUUUCUGCCCCUACCAUGGUGACCACGGGUAAUGGGGAAUCAGGGUUCCAUUCCGUACAGGGACCCUGAGAAAUGGCUACCACAUGCAAAGAAGGCAGCAGGCGCGCAAAUGGCCCACUCCCGACGCGGGAAGGUAGUGACAACAAAUAACAAUACAGGACUGUUUUGAUCAAGUCCACUUGAAAUCCUUUAACUCUGAUCAAUUAGAGGGAAGUCUGGUGCAGAGCCACUGA